rnacentral:rRNA from 1 species
AGGACGAACGCUGGCGGCGUGCUUAACACAUGCAAGUCGAACGGUAAGGCCCUUCGGGGUACACGAGUGGCGAACGGGUGAGUAACACGUGGGUGAUCUGCCCUGCACUUCGGGAUAAGCUUGGGAAACUGGGUCUAAUACCGGAUAUGACUACGAAUCGCAUGGUUUGUGGUGGAAAGCUUUUGCGGUGUGGGAUGGGCCCGCGGCCUAUCAGCUUGUUGGUGGGGUGAUGGCCUACCAAGGCGACGACGGGUAGCCGGCCUGAGAGGGUGUCCGGCCACACUGGGACUGAGAUACGGCCCAGACUCCUACGGGAGGCAGCAGUGGGGAAUAUUGCACAAUGGGCGCAAGCCUGAUGCAGCGACGCCGCGUGAGGGAUGACGGCCUUCGGGUUGUAAACCUCUUUCAGUAUCGACGAAGCGCAAGUGACGGUAGGUACAGAAGAAGGACCGGCCAACUACGCGCCAGCAGCCGCGGUAA